rnacentral:tRNA from 1 species
GCCUCCUUGGUGUAGUUGGCCAAGCAUCCAGCCUUCUCAAGGCUGUGACCUGGGUUCGAAUCCCGGAGGAGGCA